rnacentral:misc_RNA from 1 species
UUUUUUUUUUUAGAAACACAAGAAGCACAAACUACUUGCAGUAGAAAAUUAUAAUUACUGUGCAACAGAAUUCGGACAAACUUGUCCGUGCAUCCAAUGAAAAUGCAAAGACAUAAAACCACCAAACGUCAAUUUGACCCCAAUCAGAUAAGCCCAGAAGUCUGUGGAAAUCACUCAAGCACAAAACAUUCAAAACACAAGAAGACCCAGUGAAUAGAGACGUUGUAAUUACUCUCUAUCAAUGGUCACUAUUAGUGACGAUUGAGGAGUGCUUCGCGCAGCCUACUCUGAAGCAUUGGCCAGGCCUUGCAGCAUUCUCAAAAUCUCAGAUGUAUCUUCCAAGUAGUACUUUGCCUUGCUAGGCUUUUGGCCAACAGUGCAAGCAAAAACUUCAGCAACUGGGGAAAGAGAGGGGCCUGCCCUUGCAUUCAUUAUCACUUCAAACAUGUCUUCAUCGGACCUGUCAUCCCCAAUGCAGAGAACAAAAUCAGGAAGCAUUUCUUUCUUUUGCAUUGUUUCCAGGAGACAUUGUGCCACAAGUCCUUUGUUGACACCCUGAGGUUUAACUUCCACUAUGUGUUGGCCACUCUUGACUGAAACUGGCUCAUUUGCAAGAACACUUUCUAGGUGAUCUAGGAGCUCCUUAGCCUGGCAUGACCCAAAAUCUGGAUCUGCAUAUUGGUAAUUCCAUACUAGAGCACUCUCUUUGGUCUCAAUGGCAGAACCAUCAGUUGUUUCAGUGUAUAGUUUCAUUACUGGCUCAGCAAUCUGUUUCCAAUCAAAAUCUGGCACUGACACACAUGUUUCCCAAUCUGCAUCAUGAUUUGGCCUCGCAAAAUAACCAUGCUCUGCUGCAAUACCAAGCUUUUGACAAGAAGAAAACCAUACAGCUAGAGUCUCUCUGUCCUUCCCGCUAACAAUAAAAACUACAUUCUUAGGGUCUCUACAUAAAUUGUUCAAUAUUCCAACAGCCUCUGUGCUAGGAGCAGUACUAAUAGAACCUGGAAGCAUUAUAGUUCCAUCAUAAUCCAAAAGAAUUGCUCUAUUCUUUGUCCUCUUAUAAGCUGAAACAAUAUGUUCAACUGAAAGUUUCCUAAAAUUUGGAUCCAAAGCAAUUACCCGAAAACCUAGACCAAAUCCAAUUCCCCAACACCUCCUUCUCAAAUGAUCCCUGCAGGCCCUUUCAAGAUCCUGCAAAAAGCUGCGCGCCCAAUAUGCAACAUCAUGUGUACUCACAUACCUAUGGUGCUUCUCAUGUCGCAUCUGUUUUUCUGGCUCAGGGACUAUAAGAGCAGAAUCCAUAGCUUCAGCCACAGAAUCAAUGUUCCAUGGAUUUACUCGAAUUGCCCCACUUAAUGAGGGGGACCAUCCAAUAAACUCUGAAACAACAAGCAUGCUUUUUUUGGGAGCCAAUGGGAUUAGCCCCAAUGUCUCAUCCAGCUUUUCAUUUCCUUGCCGACAUAUAACAUACUCAUAGGGUAUCAAAUUCAUUCCAUCCCUUACUGCCGUAACAAGACAACAUUCUGCAAUAACAUAAUAUGCAAUCCGCUCAUAAAACUGGAGUGGAUUGUCAAUUAAAACCACUGGAUCAUAUCCUGGUGUUCCAAAUGUCUCAUUAAUCCUCCUCACAGUGGCCUUGGUUUCAGAUUGAACCUCUUGCACAUCCCGUCCUCUGCCUCUUGCUGGGUUUGCUAUUUGAACCAAAACAACUUCACCCCUCUUAUCAGGAUGUUGCAUGAGCAGUUGCUCCAUGGCCAAAAGUUUCAAGCUGAUUCCUUUAAAAAUAUCCAUGUCAUCAACACCAAGAAUGACAGUUUGACCUCUAAACUGAUCAUAUAGCUCUGCAACUUUUGAUUCUGUCUCAGGAAGAUUCAGCACUGAUUGGAGUUGACCUAUGUGAAUCCCAACAGGCAGAAUCUUUAUGCUAACAGUACGACCAUAAUACUCAAGGCCUAUGUAACCUCGCUUAGAUUGAUAAGAAAGACCAAGCAUCCUACUACAGCAAGAGAGGAAGUGCCUUGCAUAAUCAAAAGUAUGAAAGCCGAUCAGGUCAGCAUUGAGAAGUGCUCUCAGAAGUUCAUCCCUAACAGGAAGUGUCCGAUAUAUUUCAGAUGAUGGAAAUGGACUAUGGAGGAAGAACCCAAGCUUUACUCUAUUGAACCUCUUCCUCAAAAAUGUUGGCAAAACCAUCAAGUGGUAGUCAUGAACCCACACAUAAUCAUCAUCAGGGCUAAUCACUUCCAUUACUUUGUCUGCAAAUAUCUUGUUCACAGAAACAUAAGGCUGCCAAAGAGACCGAUCAAACCUGCCACCAAGAUCUGGUGAUAGCGGGAGCAUGUAGUGAAAUAAAGGCCACAAAUGCUGUUUACAGAAUCCAUGAUAGAAUUUACUAAAAAGAUCAGGAGGGAUAAAAGCUGGGACACAUUUGAAAGAUUCAAGCAAUGUUUGGGCUACAUCAUCUUGCUCACUAGGGUCAACCUCUUCUUUAAGACAACCAACAUAUAUAACUUCUACAUCUUCUCCAAGACCAUCUUUGAGUUGUAAAAGAAGAGAAUCCUCGUCCCAGCUAAAGCACCACUCCCCACUGCCAUCAGGACUUCGAUUUGCCCGAAGAGGAAGCUGGUUUCCCACAAUGAUCAUCCGUUCUUGAGAGACAGAUGAGGGGGCAUCAGAGCCAACACUAUUGCUAUUUUCAUCAUCUAGCUCAGAUAAUACUCCAGCAACAGUUGCCACUCGAGGGAGUCUCCUCCUCUCACUACCAAAAGUUGGGCGCUCACCAGAAGCAAGAUCCAAGAGGUUUGAAUACGAUCUUGAAACCAUUUUGAGGACAAAUAAGGAACCUCUUGUCUACCCAGAGAUAUAUUGCUUGUCUUGAAUCUAAGAAUUGAAAAUCACGGUCUUUCAAGUUGAGAUUAGAUUAGACAGAUAGGAAACUAAGAUUCUUUUCUUUUUCUUCUUCCUUGCUUGCUUCCCUGUGUAUUACAGGAGAAAGAGAGAGAGAGACAGAGUGAGUGGCAUUAACAGACCUUUUGCUUAGCCUUUUCGGUUUUCAAACAAGUUCUGAUUUGUGGGUAUUCUUUCUUUUCUUUUCUUGUCUUCUUUGCUUUUAGAUAUCAGACAAGAACAAAUGGGAUACCUUUGUAGAAAGAAUUUGAUUCUCUCAAACCUCACUCACUCACUCAC